rnacentral:rRNA from 1 species
UGCAAGUCGAGCGCGAAAACACUUCGGUGUGAGUAGGGCGGCGGACGGGUGAGUAAUGCUUGGGAAUCUGCCCAAUAGUGGGGGAUAACGUGUGGAAACGCACGCUAAUACCGCAUACGUCCUAGAGGAGAAAGAUUUAUCGCCGAUGGAUAGGCCCGCGUCUGAUUAGCUUGUUGGUGAGGUAAUGGCUCACCAAAGCAACGAUCAGUAGCUGGUCUGAGAGGAUGAUCAGCCACAUUGGGACUGAGACACGGCCCAAACUCC